UACGUAGGGUGCGAGCGUUAAUCGGAAUUACUGGGCGGAAAGCGUGCGCAGGCGGUUUUGUAAGCCAGAUGUGAAAGCCCCGGGCUUAACCUGGGAAUGGCAUUGGUGACUGCACGGCUAGAGUGUGUCAGAGGGGGGUAGAAUUCCACGUGUAGCAGGGAAAUGCGUAGAGAUGUGGAGGAAUACCGAUGGCGAAGGCAGCCCCCUGGGAUAACACUGACGCUCAUGCACGAAAGCGUGGGGAGCAAACAGG
rnacentral:rRNA from 1 species